UACGUAGGGGGCGAGCGUUGUCCGGAUUUAUUGGGCGUAAAGAGCUCGUAGGCGGUUUGGUAAGUCGGAUGUGAAAUCUCCAGGCUCAACCUGGAGGGGUCAUUCGAGACUGCUAUGACUAGAGUUCGGUAGAGGAGUGUGGAAUUCCUGGUGGAGCGGUGAAAUGCGCAGAUAUCAGGAGGAACACCCGUGGCGAAGGCGGCUCUCUGGGACGGUACUGACGCUGAGACGCGAAAGCGUGGGGAGCGAACAGG
rnacentral:rRNA from 1 species